AACACAUGCAAGUCGAACGGGCGUAGCAGUACGUCAGCGGCAGACGGGUGAGUAACGCGUGGGAACGUACCUUUUGGUUCGGAACAACACAGGGAAACUUGUGCUAAUACCGGAUAAGCCCUUACGGGGAAAGAUUUAUCGCCGAAAGAUCGGCCCGCGUCUGAUUAGCUAGUUGGUGAGGUAAUGGCUCACCAAGGCGACGAUCAGUAGCUGGUCAGAGAGGAUGAUCAGCCACAUUGGGACUGAGACACGGCCCAAACUCCUACGGGAGGCAGCAGUGGGGAAUAUUGGACAAUGGGCGCAAGCCUGAUCCAGCCAUGCCGCGUGAGUGAUGAAGGCCCUAGGGUUGUAAAGCUCUUAUGUGCGGGAAGAUAAUGACGGUACCGCAAGAAUAAGCCCCGGCUAACUUCGUGCCAGCCGCCGCGGUAAUAC
rnacentral:rRNA from 1 species